UGGCGGACGGGUGAGUAACGCGUGGAUAACCUGCCUUUCACAGGGGGGAUAACAGCUGGAAACGGCUGCUAAUACCGCAUGAGCCUCUUUUGUCGCAUGACGGGAGAGGGAAAGAGAAAUCGGUGAGAGAUGGAUCCGCGUCCGAUUAGCUAGUUGGAGGGGUAACAGCCCACCAAGGCGACGAUCGGUAGCCGACCUGAGAGGGUGGACGGCCACAUUGGGACUGAGACACGGCCCAAACUCCUACGGAAGGCAGCAG
rnacentral:rRNA from 1 species